rnacentral:rRNA from 1 species
GACGAACGCUGGCGGCGUGCUUAACACAUGCAAGUCGAACGGAAAGGCCCUGCUUUUUUGGGGUGCUCUACUUGCGAACGGGUGAGUAACACUUGAGUUCCCUGUCCCUGACUUUGGGAUAACCUCAUGAAACUUGGUCUAAUACCGGCUAGGAGCUCUCGCUUCUUGGUGGGGGCUGGAUAGUUUCGGCGGUUGGGGAUGGACUCGCGGCGUAUCAGCUUGUUGGUGGGGUAGUGGCUUACCAAGGCUUUGACGGGUAGCCGGGCUGAGAGGCGAACCGGACAAAUUGGGACUGAGAUGCGGCACAGACUCGUACGGGAGGCAGGGGUGGGGAAGAGUACACAAUGGGCGGGAGCCUGAUGCAGCAAAGCAGCGUGCGGGAUGACGGGAAUCGGGUUGUAAACCGCAUUCGCCUGUGACGGGGCGUGAGUGACGGUAAUGGGUAAAGAAGCACCGGCUAACUACGUG